GGUCAAGAGCGCCAGCGAUAAGCCCCAGCUAGCUGGCCGGCAACCCUCCUCCGCGGUGGGGUGCCCUGGGUGAAGACCAGGCGGCACGCAAAAGCGUGACGCAAGCGCGGGAC
rfam:Rothia mucilaginosa DY-18 DNA, complete genome.